GUGCUCCCUUACGCAGCACAUGUACAAAAGCUGAACAGAUAAAGAGUUAUAGCUUGGCCUUGGUGCAAGGACAACUUGCAAAUUUGUGAAACAUGAAACUCUUUA
rnacentral:snRNA from 1 species